AGAGGAGUGAGCCGUCGAAGGCAGGAUCGAUGACUGGGGUUAAGUCGUAACAAGGUAUCCCUACGGGAACGUGGGGAUGGAUCACCUCCUUUCUAAGGAGA
rnacentral:rRNA from 1 species